CCUACGGGAGGCUGCAGUGAGGAAUAUUGGUCAAUGGACGAGAGUCUGAACCAGCCAAGUAGCGUGAAGGAUGACUGCCCUAUGGGUUGUAAACUUCUUUUAUAUGGGAAUAAAAUGUUCCACGUGUGGAAUUUUGUAUGUACAAUAUGAAUAAGGAUAGGCUAACCCCGUGCCAGCAGCCGCGGUAAUACGGAGGAUCCGAGCGUUAUCCGGAUUUAUUGGGUUUAAAGGGAGCGUAGGUGGGUUGUUAAGUCAGUUGUGAAAGUUUUCGGCUCAACCGUAAAAUUGCAGUUGAAGCUGGCAGUCUUGAGUACAGUAGAGGUAGGCGGAAGUCGUGGUGUAGCAGUGAAAUGCGUAGAUAUCACGAAGAACUCCGAUUGCGAAGGCAGUUCACUGGACUGCAACUGACACUGAGGCUCGAAAGUGUGGGUAUCAAACAGGAUUAGAUACCCCUGUAGUC
rnacentral:rRNA from 1 species